UAACUAAGCGGAGGAAAAGAAACUAACAAGGAUUCCCCUAGUAAGGGCGACUGAGGCGGGAUCAGCCCAGAUUGUAAACUGGCCGCCUCGGCGGCUGGGUUGUAGUCUACAGAGGCGACGCCAGGCAAGGUCCGGGGAGAAGUCCCUUGGAACAGGGCAUCGGAGAGGGUGACAAUCCCGUCUGUGCCUCGGACCGAGUCGUACGGCGCGUCUUCGACGAGUCGAUUUGCUUGGGAUUGCAGAUCAAACGGGUGGUAAAUUCCAUCUAAGGCUAAAUACGGGUGGG
rnacentral:rRNA from 1 species